AGUGAACGCUGGCGGCAGGCCUAACACAUGCAAGUCGAGCGGCAGCGGGUCCUUCGGGAUGCCGGCGAGCGGCGGACGGGUGAGGAAUACAUCGGAAUCUUCCCUGUCGCGGGGGAUAACCUAGGGAAACUUAGGCUAAUACCGCAUACGACCUACGUGUGAAAGCGGGGGAUCUUAAGACCUCGCGCGACAGGAGGAGCCGAUGUCCGAUUAGAUGGUUGGCGGGGUAAAGGCCCACCAAGGCGACGAUCGGUAGCUGGUCUGAGAGGCUGAUCAGCCACACUGGGACUGAGACACGGCCCAGACUCCUGCGGGAGGCAGCAGUGGGGAAUAUUGGACGAUGGGCGAAAGCCUGAUCCAGCCAUGCCGCGUGGGUGAAGAAGGCCUUCGGGUUGUAAAGCCCUUUUGUCCGGGAAGAAGUAGUCUGGGCUAAUACCCCGAGCGGAUGACGGUACCGGAAGAAUAAGCACCGGCUAACUUCGUG
rnacentral:rRNA from 1 species